rfam:Triticum aestivum genome assembly, contig: Triticum_aestivum_CS42_TGACv1_scaffold_225290_3B
CUUGUACUCCCUCCGUCCGAAAACUUGUCAUUGAAAUGGAUGUAUCUAGAUGUAUUUUAGUUCUGGACACAUCCAUUUUGAUGACAAGUAAUUCUAGACGGAGGGAGUACUUG